rnacentral:misc_RNA from 1 species
UCUCCGUUGGUGAACCAGCGGAGGGAUCAUUACAGAGUGUAAAAACUCCCAAACCCACUGUGAACCUACCACUGUUGCUUCGGCGGACCCGCCCCGGGCGCCUCCCCUCAGGGGUGGUGCCCCGGACCCAGGCGGCCGCCGGGGGCCCAAACCUCUGUAUUUUAUACGAGUAUUCUCUGAGUGUGAUUUACCAAAUCAAAUCAAAACUUUCAACAACGGAUCUCUUGGCUCUG